GACGAACGCUGGCGGCGCGCCUAACACAUGCAAGUCGAACGGAGCUGAGAGAAGCUUGCUUUUCUUAGCUUAGUGGCGAACGGGUGAGUAACGCGUGAGUAACCUGCCCUGGAGUGGGGGACAACAGUUUGAAACGACUGCUAAUACCGCAUAAGCCCACGAUCCGGCAUCGGAUUGAGGGAAAAGGAUUUAUUCGCUUCAGGAUGGACUCGCGUCCAAUUAGCUAGUUGGUGAGGUAACGGCCCACCAAGGCGACGAUUGGUAGCCGGACUGAGAGGUUGAACGGCCACAUUGGGACUGAGACACGGCCCAGACUCCUACGGGAGGCAGCAGUGGGGGAUAUUGCACAAUGGGGGAAACCCUGAUGCAGCGACGCCGCGUGGAGGAAGAAGGUUUUCGGAUUGUAAACUCCUGUCGUUAGGGACGAUAAUGACGGUACCUAACAAGAAAGCACCGGCUAACUACGUG
rnacentral:rRNA from 1 species